UAAUUGUUAAUAAAUUAGCAAAAGGCUUACAUAUAUAUUCGUUUUCUUUUCAAAUUCACCUUUUUUUUUUUUCAUGUUAUUAUUAAAAUACAAUUUAAUCAUAACGGACUAAAUUGUAUUUAAUCAUACAUGUUUUAGACCAAAAAUAAUGUGAAAAUAGAAGCUACUUUUACAUACUUUUUUUAAAGUUUCUUAACAUUUAGGGGUAACUUGAAACUGUCAUUCGUUUUUAGUAACCAGACAAACCAUUUUACCAUUAGAUGGUAACAAGAUGAAUGAUCAAUUUGACCUUUAAAUAUGUAAAUCUUGGAAUUGGUCCCUAAAAUUUACAAUUUAAUCUCAGUUUGAUCCUAAAUAGAAUACAAUUCAGAUACAUAGGUCCAUUCAAUUCUAUUAGGAUAGAUUCUAUAGACAUCCACUUAUAUUUAUAUAUAUUAUAAUUUGGUGAUAUAUAUUGUGGAUGUGAUUUCUCUCACAUUAAGCUAUAAUAUUCAGAUAAAACCAGUUGCCUCUUAUGCAUUCAAUUACAAAAUCAGAUUUUUCUUUCAUUCAAAUUCUAUAUUAACUCACAUUUAGGCACCCAGUUGGCUGUUUUCUUGUACAUGUUGGAAUGGCUAAUAUCGUAAACAGUAAAUGGUCAUUUUCUCCCUUGAAUGUGUAAAUUGGAUAAUUGAGUUGAGAUCCAGAAUGGAAAUUCUAAUUCAAUCCAUAAUCCAUAAAUAUAUGAAAAAAGCAAAGAUUAUGUCCUGCCAUGAAGUUUUUUCGGUCUAUUUUGUCAUUAACUUGUAAGGUUUAAGGACCAAUUUAAAGUAGUAAAAUUUAGAGACUAAUUUGUUAUUCAGUUAUACAGUAAAAAUUAAUUAUAGUACUUUUCACACCUUCGAGAAAUAAAUAAGAACUUUUAUCAAAUCAUCUCCAAUUUACAUAUUGAGAUAGUACAGUUGUCAUUUUUCAUGUUUUAAAAUAUAAUUUUACAUCGUUAUGACCCCAAAAGUUGUCAUGCUUGUUAGUUCUGCAUUUUGUUGAUCCACUUACAUAUAUGUUAAUGCACAUCAUUUAACCUGCUCUAAAGUAUAAUUGCACAGCAUCAUGACUCCUACAGUUGUCAUGCACAUUUGUUUUGCUUGUGCAUUUUGUUAAUUCAAAUCAGUGUCUUUUGACAUGUAUGUUAAUGCACAUCAGUAGAACCACUUGUACUGUUUUUGUUAAAUACGGUUUUUUUAUCACAGUUUCAUAUUAAUGUCACAUGACUUUUAUUCAAACUUUCAUUCAGAUAACUUCACAUGACUAGCUACUUUAUUUAUGUGGCGGUAACACACGAAAAUAGUAAAUGGACUCUGUUGUUUGUUACUUAAAACUAAGUUUAAUAAUGGUAAAAACUCUGCAUAUUGCCCACUCUAACACUACGCUCCUUUAUUACAAGGACCGUUUAAUCAAAGGAGAUUCUCUGCAGAAAGUCUGGUCUAUAUUUGUCUUUAGGGCUAGGCAUUGGACCAGUAAAAAUUUAACACUAUCUCAUCCAACAGAUUGCGUAAACCAUGGCAACUUGGUGCUCUGGAGUUUCAGAUUGAAUCCAUUCUGAAUCUGUUGCAGACAGUCUUAUCCUGUAUUUCUAAUAAUUUGAUUCCACUGCUUUCAAAAAUCGAGAAUUCUAACCAUUGGGCCUAGGUAAAAUAUGCCUGGUCGAAUUUGAUGUUAUACAAACUUGUCCUUCCUAUUUCCAAUGUGCAUAGAUAUGCUGAAUUCAAGCUCCAAUAUGGGGAAGACACAGGAAUGGAAUAAUUUCCCCUCAGUUAUCUAUGAAAGCAAGGCCGAUUAUGUUGCAGAUGCAAUUAAACACUAAAUGUAGUUAUAUUUUCUAUUGCAAUUUAAACCUUAAUUCUUGACAUUGUGAAAUAAAAGAGUAACCAUUUUCUGUAAAGACCGAACUUCGUAUGGACAUUUGAGAAUAACUGCAUUUUGAGAGAUUGUUAAAAACAGUUAAAUAAAAGAAAGAUCAGAUCAUUACCUGCAAAGACACAUGUAAGAAGGACCAAACUUGUCAAACUCUCAACUUAACUUCUAAACACUUCCAAGUUUACGGUUUAUUUAGAAAGGGAUUAAAGAAA